AACGUAGGACGCAAGCGUUAUCCGGAGUUACUGGGCGUAAAGCGCGGGCAGGCGGCUGUCUAAGUCUGAUGUGAAAGCGCCCGGCUUAACCGGGCGAGGCCAUUGGAAACUGGAGAGCUGGCGGGCAGUAGAGGCAGGCGGAAUUCCGGGUGGAGUGGUGAAAUGCGUAGAGAUCCGGAGGAACACCAGUGGCGAAAGCGGCCACCUGGACUGUACCUGACGCUCAAACGCGAAAGCUAGGGGAGCGAACGGG
rnacentral:rRNA from 1 species